rnacentral:snRNA from 1 species
AGAUGUGAGGGUGAUCUGCCCGUGAAAUCUGUCACUCCAUUGAUGGCUGACAAGUGCUGUCCCUUUCUUCCCUUCCUGCUCGGUGUGCAUCCCUCCAGCGGCUUUGCACUCAGUUGAAGAGGANGCUCUUCUGCAGUNGUGGGGCACCCUUCUUUAGCCAAGGGUCUACCUGUAGCUGCUUAUCCCUGCUAGAACCCCCAAACAAGCUCUCAAAACAGGAGGCUAAUGAGUAACUGAUGGGCAAUUAUCNNNNN